GCUUUCGCUGAGGGCAAACCUCUGCCUCUUCCUAAAGCUGGGGGUGGAGGCACACUGGAGCUCUUUCCUCCAGGAGGUGGAGGAGCGGAUCGUGAACCAUGACCUAGAGGUGGAGGAGGUGCUGAACCUUGAAUCGUGGGCGGCGGAGGUGGAGCAGGAGCUGAACCACGUCCAGGAGGCGGUGGAGGUGGAGCAGGAGCUGAACCACGACUAGGAGGUGGUGGAGGUGGGGCAGGAGCUGAACCACGACCAAGAGGUGGUGGAGGUGGGGCAGGAGCUGAACCACGACCAGGAGGUGGUGGAGGUGGCACAGGGAGCUGAACCACGACCAGGAGGUGGUGGAGGUGGGGCUGGGGCUGAGGCCGAACCAUGGCCUGGAGGAGGUGGUGGAGGUGGGAUAGGUGCUAAACCACGACCUGCAUGAGGAGGUGGUGGUGGUGCAGAUGGAGUUUCUCCUGAACUACGAGAAGGCAGUUGUGGGG
rnacentral:lncRNA from 1 species